UACGGAGGGAGCUAGCGUUGUUCGGAAUUACUGGGCGUAAAGCGCACGUAGGCGGCUUUGUAAGUUAGAGGUGAAAGCCCGGAGCUCAACUCCGGAACUGCCUUUAAGACUGCAUCGCUUGAAUCCAGGAGAGGUGAGUGGAAUUCCGAGUGUAGAGGUGAAAUUCGUAGAUAUUCGGAAGAACACCAGUGGCGAAGGCGGCUCACUGGACUGGUAUUGACGCUGAUGCGCGAAAGCGUGGGGAGCAAACAGG
rnacentral:rRNA from 1 species